UACCUGACUGCGGUGUGUGAAACUAUCAUUAGACAGACGAUGAACGGCCCAGCUAGCGAGCAGGAAACUGAAGGAAAAUAAAAAGUGUUAGAGUGUAAGAGCAGAUGUAAUGACUCUACUAUGCACUGGCUUUUGUCUCCAUCAUGUGGUGGUUCUGAUAAAGGCUCUCCCUGCACAGGAGAAGGAAAGUGUGGAGUAAAUUAGAUGGACAGAUUGUUUCAUUACUUUAAACUCCUGAAUGAAAGAAAUUUGAAGGGGAAGGCAGAUCAAAACAGCGCCCAAGCAGCGUGCUUAAGUUUGAUCGCCUACACCAGGGGGUCCAGUUCUAGUCCUGAAGAUCUGUCAGAUUCAGCUCCAACUCAAAUCUAACACACCUGGUCCAGGCACCAGUCCCUGUGGGUGUCUCCUCAGACUCGGGGCCUGCUUCCCUCCUAAAUGGUGGUAAAUGGCUCUCGGCACAAAUAAUGCAUAAACAGCUGUUUUGCCCAAUGAGGAGCCUCACCUCCCUGACAGAGACACAGCUUUCUCAUCGAUUCUCGCUCACUGACUCUCCCCAUGGCCUUGUCCUUUAAAGCACGGAUGUUACGAAAUGUACUGCACUGCUGCGUGAGCGUGCGCGUGUGUGCUUGCGUGUGUUUGUGUCAUACCGCUGUGCCAAGCAUGCAGGCUUUCACCGUGCCAUGAUUUUGCGUGCCUCGAUGAAAGUUUGUGUGUGGAAAGUUACAUCAGAUGAGUAGAAGCUCUUGAGUUGAGGCAUGUGGGAAUGUGUUUAUGCUUAUUUAGAGCUUUCAUCUCAUCUUUUUGGAGGUGAAAUCAGACUCUUCUUUAUCUCUCUCUCUUUCUCACCACCAACUCCCCCCCCACCCCACCUUGCUCUUUCUCUCUGCAAUGAAUAAACUUCACUGUAGUUGAGCUAAAUCCUCCCUUGGCCCCAGUCCCAGCCCUGCUGAGUAGGCGAAUGUUCAUCCUGCCCACUUGUUUUUACGUGCCAUUGGCCUUCCCAUGUAAGAGGACUGUCUGGUACCUCCUGCAUCAUUUAGCAGACUGUCGCAGCGGGACAUCAGGUACUGUCCUGGCAUGGCAGGGCCUCUAGGUGAGACGUCUGUCCAUUGGAACCCCGCCUGCAGCCCCAUUUAGGACCUACUGUGUGACUUGCCACUGUGCUCAUGUUGGUAUCAUUCUGUUUAGCCUUUCAGGAUGAAGAAGGGAAAUAUGCUUUCCCUUGUCUGUGUGUGCUGGUGCAUAUCCCUAUUGUCUCUUGAUAUAGAAGAGAAUCUGAUGCUCUUGUGUGACUCUUUUGAUAUCAUCUGAUAUAGUAAAGCUGAUAUGCGACCUGAUGAAAGUUGUUAAACUUCAAAGGAAUACUGUUCUGGAUUUAUCAACAUAACCCUGUUUUACAGUAGCCAUAAAUGCCAUUUCUGCCUGUUGUAGAGCUUCCUCAGUUUUUGCCAUAUGUAUUUUCAGUAAAGUU